rnacentral:rRNA from 1 species
GAUGAACGCUGGCGGCGUGCCUAAUACAUGCAAGUCGAGCGAACAGACGAGGAGCUUGCUCCUCUGACGUUAGCGGCGGACGGGUGAGUAACACGUGGAUAACCUACCUAUAAGACUGGGAUAACUUCGGGAAACCGGAGCUAAUACCGGAUAAUAUAUUGAACCGCAUGGUUCAAUAGUGAAAGACGGUUUUGCUGUCACUUAUAGAUGGAUCCGCGCCGCAUUAGCUAGUUGGUAAGGUAACGGCUUACCAAGGCAACGAUGCGUAGCCGACCUGAGAGGGGGGGCGCCAACACGGGAACGGAGCCAGGGCCCGGCCCACUCAGGGAGGGGGCAGAGGGGAAUCUUCGGCAAUGGGCGAAGGCUUGACGGAGCAGCGCCGCGGGAGUGAGAAGGUUCUUGGGAUCGAAAAAUUUUUUUAUUGGGAAAAAAAAAAGGUGAAAGAAAAUAGGCCCGCUUGGAGGGUACCUAAUAAGAAAGCCCCGGCUAACUACGGC